GAUGAACGCUAGCUACAGGCUUAACACAUGCAAGUCGAGGGGCAGCAUGAACUUAGCUUGCUAAGUUUGAUGGCGACCGGCGCACGGGUGAGUAACACGUAUCCGAACCUGCCGAUGACUCGGGGAUAGCCUUUCGAAAGAAAGAUUAAUACCCGAUGGCAUAGUUCUUCCGCAUGGUAGAACUAUUAAAGGAUUUCGGUCAUCGAUGGGGAUGCGUUCCAUUAGGUUGUUGGCGGGGGUAACGGCCCACCUAGCCUACGAUGGAUAGGGGUUCUGAGAGAAGGUCCCCCCACAUUGGAACUGAGACACGGGUCCAAAACUCCUACGGGAGGCAGCAGUGAGGAAAUACUUUGGG
rnacentral:rRNA from 1 species